rnacentral:rRNA from 1 species
GACGAACGCUGGCGGCGUGCCUAAUACAUGCAAGUAGAACGCACAGUUUAUACCGUAGCUUGCUACACCAUAAACUGUGAGUUGCGAACGGGUGAGUAACGCGUAGGUAACCUGCCUGGUAGCGGGGGAUAACUAUUGGAAACGAUAGCUAAUACCGCAUAAUAUUAAUUAUUGCAUGAUAAUUGAUUGAAAGAUGCAAUUGCAUCACUACCAGAUGGACCUGCGUUGUAUUAGCUAGUAGGUGAGGUAACGGCUCACCUAGGCGACGAUACAUAGCCGACCUGGGAGGGUGAUCGGCCACACUGGGACUGAGACACGGCCCAGACUCCUACGGGAGGCAGCAGUAGGGAACCUUCGGCAAUGGCCGAAAGUCUGACCGAGCAACGCCGCGUGAGUGAAGAAGGUUUUCGGAUCGUAAAGCUCUGUUGUAAGAGAAGAACGGGUGUGAGAGUGGAAAGUUCACACUGUGACGGUAUCUUACCAGAAAGGGACGGCUAACUACGUG